rnacentral:rRNA from 1 species
AACGAACGCUGGCGGCAUGCCUAACACAUGCAAGUCGAACGCCUGUAGCAAUACAGGAGUGGCGCACGGGUGAGUAACGCGUGGGAACCUGCCCCGAGGUGCGGGAUAACCGAUGGAAACGUCGGCUAAUACCGCAUACGACCUGAGGGUGAAAGAUUUAUCGCCUUGGGAGGGGCCCGCGUCGGAUUAGCUAGUUGGUGGGGUAACGGCCUACCAAGGCGAUGAUCCGUAGCUGGUCNGAGAGGAUGAUCAGCCACACUGGGACUGAGACACGGCCCA